UGGGGAAUAUUGCGCAAUGGGGGCAACCCUGACGCAGCAACGCCGCGUGAAGGAUGACGGUCUUCGGAUUGUAAACUUCUUUAAGUGUGGAAGAAAUUGACGGUACACACAGAAUAAGCCACGGCUAACUACGUGCCAGCAGCCGCGGUAAUACGUAGGUGGCGAGCGUUGUCCGGAUUUACUGGGGGUAAAGGGCGUGUAGGCGGGAGAGCAAGUCAGAAGUGAAAUCUAUGGGCUUAACCCAUAAACUGCUUUUGAAACUGUUUUUCUUGAGUAUCGGAGAGGCAGGCGGAAUUCCUAGUGUAGCGGUGAAAUGCGUAGAUAUUAGGAGGAACACCAGUGGCGAAGGCGGCCUGCUGGACGACAACUGACGCUGAGGCGCGAAAGCGUGGGGAGCAAACAGGAUUAGAUACCCUGGUAGUCCCUG
rnacentral:rRNA from 1 species